rnacentral:snoRNA from 1 species
UGCAAUGAUGUCGUAAUUUGCGUCUUACUCUGUUCUCAGCGACAGUUGCCUGCUGUCAGUAAGCUGGUUCAGAAGACUGACGAACAUUCUUACUGAGCA